CAUUCAACAUAUCCCCAGAUAGCUUAGAUCUGAGCGCACAUUAUUACCGAAUGGCGCUCAGAUCACAUACAUAAAAUUCAAUCGCCAUGGAACCAAAGUCUUUCACAUAGUCUUUUGUUACAUAAUUGGGCUCAAUGGCAUAGCUAUCUGGGGUAACACUGCUCACAUAGGGAAAGUACCGAAUGGACAGACUGAUGGAAUAAGCUUGCAGUAUGCAAAGCAC